rnacentral:lncRNA from 1 species
AUAAUCACUUCACUCUUGAUCAUCACCUCCCAAACAUCAUCAUCACUUCACUCUUGAUCAUCACCUCCCACACAUAAUUUCAUCCUAACCACCAUUAUCAAAAUCAAACAACAACAAUCUUCAACACCACCACCACUAUCAUCAUCGAUCACCAUCACAAAUACCAACACAACAUAGCAUUUUCACCAUUUUUUCUGCCUCAUGAAACAUCACAGCAUAACACUCAUACUCUCAACAUAACAUACAACAUCC